ACUUCUGAUAACUGGGUUUGUGCCUGGUUGUCAUCACAGCUGCUGUGCAAACACUGGUUAAACUCACAGAUCUGCUGUGAGUAAUAGAAAAGACCUCAUCCCUGACCAUCACCCCCUGCCUGCUGUGUGGGACAUGGGAGCGGAGAUCGGCCCAGAAAAUUCCCUGCUUUCUUUGGAGGGAAAAAGAGCAGGCACAAGCUAUAAUUUCAGUGGUCUGCUGAAUAAAGAGGUGCCUUUGUACUGCAGUCACCUCCAAUGCCUGGCUUUGGCCCAUUGGUGUGCAUGCAGCUCCUGCCAGCCUCUCCCAUCACCUCCUUCCCCUGGGUUUUUAGGAACCUGAGUGGGAUCUUGAUGCAAAGGGGAACUGAGCAACUCAUUAAAGAAGAAAUAUUCUGUACUCUGACAUCCUUAUGCACAUCCCACUUGUAAGAAACAACUGCAAUGUAAACGAUGAGGAAUUUGCAAUUCAGCCCAUCUAGACCCAACAUCAGCAUCUCUUCCUAUUGCACA